GGUAGGUGAGAAACAAAAGAGUGGGUAUGAGGCCCACAAACAAAUCUAAAGUACAAGCACGAGGGAUUAGGCGCCCUUAAUUCAAACAGACUUCCUGUUUAAACAAUACCACCGGGAAUCUCCUACGUCUCUGUCGUGCUGGGAAUCGCCUCCGGCGGUGGCGGAGACCUAAACAUCACCAACUUUAACCCAUUCUGGCCGUCUCACCUCACUCUAUCAAAGCCCUAACUCAAUUCGCUCAAAUUCUCACUCACGACUACGAAUCGAAGUAAAACCCGUAAGAACCCUAUCUAUCAUUUCUUAAAUUACACGUCACAGAGACGGAAUUGGGAGCCCUAACCAUAUGGAUUUGUCUCCCCCGCACCAAACUACAUCAUAUCAACUAGUUUAGCAUGAAACAAGGGAGGAACGAAGGCUUACCUACCGAAACAGCUCCGGUGGCUCCUGGAGAUGGACGUUUGAUGUUUGCUGAUGAAAACCAGAGGCCUUCCUCUUCAGCUUUCACUUAUAAUUUCCUUGUUUAAGUUGCAAUAUAUCGAUCUUGAAUCUUCUUCUCCUUCUCCAAUCUUAGUCCGUAGGGAUGACUGAUUUGUUGUUGACGUGUGCGUGUGAGCUGGAGGAAUUAUUAAGGCUGAGCUCGGUUGUUUAGAGUUUCAAAGGUUGAGACUCUAGAAAUUGUGAAGAUUCAGAGCUUUUUAUGUGGGGAGGAUUUCAGUUAGAGAGAGUGAAUGAGGAACAUGAAUAUUGAGAGGGUGAGUUGUCGUAGAGCCCUAAACUGAAUUGUGAUCAUGGCAUUUAUAGGCUCUCAAAUUCCCUUAGAAACUCAAUUGAAAUUCGAAUCAAAUGCAAAUGAAAUUAGGAAGUUAGUUAUGGAGUUUGUUUGAGUUAGUUAGGAUGAACUCAGUGAGUUGAUUUUGUUGACUCACUGAGUUGACAGUUAGUUGUUAGUUGAUUAAGUGAGUUAGUUGAUUAAGUGAGUUAGUUGUUAGCAUUGUGAAUUCAGCGCAAAGCUUUUGAUUCUAUGUAUGUUUCCUUAUGUUAGUUAUAAUGGUCUUCCAAUUUGUGUCAUGUUAAAAAAUACAGGGGUUAUAUUAUUUUUCCUGGAAAAUGUAAGUUGUGUGUAGUUUAUGGAAGUUUGCAAUUGAUAAAAAAUGACCUGCUAGUGCAUGUAAUAUUUUUAACUGCAGGUUUGUUAGUUUGAUGGAAAUUGCAGGUUGAUUCCUUUUUCUGCUAAACUCUACUAUUAGUCAGUUAGCAGUCUAUGUUUACUGCACUUCUAUUAGGGCUUCCAUGAAUGUGCUAUGCAUUAGCAUGUUUGAAUGACUGCUUAGCUGCUAGGUUAUUUAUUGGUGUAACUAUUUGCUGCUAUGCUUGUUUGGAUGAGAUGGUUAAUUGGCUGCAACGGUUUUGUGUGUAAUGAUUUUAUAUUGACAUAUUGUUGCAUGUUCAAUCCUGCUAAUGCUGCUUAUGUUCACUUGAAACUCAUGCUAGGCCUAAUGCUUCAUGCUUGUUUGCUUCUAUGUUAGCUGUUGUGAAGGAAAUGUUGAAAUGGGCAUGUAGCAAACCAAGUUGCAGCAGGGCUGACAUGGAGCAGGGAUGAUGUAGGACUUGGCAUGUGGUCAUGGCUCCAACUCAUGGCAAUUUGAUGGAAAACAAAGCUUGGUGCAAAAGAUGAUUGCUUGUUCAUGAAGAAACUUGGCCAUGGAAUCCAAUGGAAAGAUUGUAAAUGAUAUGGACUUCAAGUAGAAAUUAGGGUUAGGUAAAUGGAAUAGGCCAAUUGACUUUGGUCAACUGGGUGACAAAAAAGUCAAUAGUUGACCAAAAGUUAACUGUAGGUCAAACUUGAUUUUUUUUUGUAAUUUUGUUGUAUAAACCAUUUGUAAAUGAUAUUGAAUGAAUGAAUGGACAUUUUUUUAAUGAAAA